AUAUCAAUAAGGCGAGGAACAGAAACCAACUGGGAUUCCCUCAGUAGUGGCGAAUGAAGCGGGAAAAGCUCAAGUUUGAAAUCCGGCGGCCUCGGCAUCCGGAGUUGUAAGCUGAAGAGGCGUCGACCGACGUGGGCCGGGCUCCAAUUCCCUUGGAACAGGGGGUCAUAGAGGGUGAGAACCCCGUCUGUGGCUCGGACCCCAUCGUCAUCAGCGUCGUGCCCUCGCAGAGUCGGGUUGUUUGGGAAUGCAGCUCAAAAUGGGUGGUAAAUCUCAUCUAAAGCUAAAUAUUGGCGAGAGACCGAUAGCGAACAAGUAGAGUGAUCGAAAGAUGAAAAGUACUUUGAAAAGAGAGUGAAACAGUAC
rnacentral:rRNA from 1 species